rnacentral:rRNA from 1 species
GAGUUUGAUCCUGGCUCAGGAUGAACGCUGGCGGCGUGCUUAACACAUGCAAGUCGAACGAAGCAUUUGCGACAGAUUUCUUCGGAUUGAAGUUGCUUAUGACUGAGUGGCGGACGGGUGAGUAACGCGUGGGUAACCUGCCUCACACAGGGGGAUAGCAGUUGGAAACGACUGAUAAUACCGCAUAAGCGCACAGUACCGCAUGGUACAGUGUGAAAAACUCCGGUGGUGUGAGAUGGACCCGCGUCUGAUUAGGUAGUUGGUGGGGUAACGGCCUACCAAGCCGACGAUCAGUAGCCGACCUGAGAGGGUGACCGGCCACAUUGGGACUGAGACACGGCCCAGACUCCUACGGGAGGCAGCAGUGGGGAAUAUUGCACAAUGGAGGAAACUCUGAUGCAGCGACGCCGCGUGAAGGAUGAAGUAUUUCGGUAUGUAAACUUCUAUCAGCAGGGAAGAAAAUGACGGUACCUGACUAAGAAGCCCCGGCUAACUACGUGCCAGCCGCCGCGGUAAUUC